rnacentral:rRNA from 1 species
UAGGGAAUCUUCGGCAAUGGACGAAAGUCUGACCGAGCAACGCCGCGUGAGUGAAGAAGGUUUUCGGAUCGUAAAACUCUGUUGUUAGAGAAGAACAAGGACGUUAGUAACUGAACGUCCCCUGACGGUAUCUAACCAGAAAGCCACGGCUAACUUCGUGCCAGCAGCCGCGGUAAUACGUAGGUGGCAAGCGUUGUCCGGAUUUAUUGGGCGUAAAGCGAGCGCAGGCGGUUUCUUAAGUCUGAUGUGAAAGCCCCCGGCUCAACCGGGGAGGGUCAUUGGAAACUGGGAGACUUGAGUGCAGAAGAGGAGAGUGGAAUUCCAUGUGUAGCGGUGAAAUGCGUAGAUAUAUGGAGGAACACCAGUGGCGAAGGCGGCUCUCUGGUCUGUAACUGACGCUGAGGCUCGAAAGCGUGGGGAGCAAACAGG